rnacentral:rRNA from 1 species
UACGUAGGGGGCAAGCGUUGUCCGGAUUUAUUGGGCGUAAAGAGCGUGUAGGCGGCUGGGUAGGUCCGUUGUGAAAACUCGAGGCUCAACCUCGAGACGCCGAUGGAAGCCCCCCAGCUAGAGUCCGGAAGAGGAGAGUGGAAUUCCUGGUGUAGCGGUGAAAUGCGCAGAUAUCAGGAAGAACACCCGUGGCUAAGGCGGCUCUCUAGUACGGUACUGACGCUGAGGAGCGAAAGCGUGGGGAGCGAACAGG